GACAGCGUGCUGCAGUGGUUUGAGUGUUGGCCUACAACUCCGGAGACCAGGGUUUGAAUCCCAGCUUGGCCA
rnacentral:tRNA from 1 species